ensembl:lncRNA
CUUUAAUAUUUAAAGAUAAUAUAUUUGAGAGAAUGAGUGGGCUCCUCACGGCAUCAUGGAACAGAGCCUGGUUUAUGUCGCUAUACUUAUCUUUUAUGGUACAUGGCACAUUCAGGGGACUGGACAGAUGAGCGACUCUGGGGAUGGUGGUUUGUUUGGAGCUAAGAAGCUCUCACAUGCAUUUAGAUGAUGAGCUUUCAUAACUUAUUCUCCUCCCAGUAUAUUGGGCGUGACACCCGUGUAUCCACAGUCUUUGACUUAGAAGCGGUGGGUGGAAACACACGGUCCAGGGCCAGGAGCCUGAAGGUUUCAGGUUGGCGGGCUCGUGUUUCCCUUGGUCCCUCUAAGUGCCCAUCGGUGUAGCCAGAGCUCCUCCGUGAAGCGCACAGUGGUCCCUGGGCCAGUAGAUGAUGAGAUGGUUCCUGUUUCUUUCAGGCCGUACACCUGGUCCCUGGCUCCACGCCCAGCCGGCCGGGCAGGGCUCCGAUGACAUCAAGGGCAGAAACUCUCAGUUAUCUCUAAAGACACUCCGGUGAGAAGACGGAUGGUGCUGAGGUCCUGUGGGCCACCUAAGGGUCCACACCGCGGGCUGAGCAUCCCCAGGAGAGCGUGUCUGACCUCACCAUACUCAAGUUGUAAUUCAUUCGACAUUCAGGCUCUGAAUGGAGCAUUUAUUUAUUGUAAAUACGUGGUUUGCACAAGCUUUAAAUCAAUAUUAUAGUUGACUUUUGAGUAAUUUAAAAAAAAAAUCCAUACGCACCAUUUCAACAUUUUUUAAAAUGCAUCUUGACAUUCGUCUGUCAGUCCAGAUAGAGCCCUGUCCCCACCCCAUAGAGUCCAUUCCAUGACUGUAAAUAUGCGUGCGAGCUGGCUCUUCCUAGAUUCUGAAUCGUUUUUAGAAGAACCCUUAGUUUGCAGAUAGUUCUAACGUCAUAGUAUCCACAACGGCUUCUUAUUGGCAUGAUUUUAUAUUCUCAUCACACCAACUGCAAAAUCAAACCAAAUAAUGCCUUACAAACGCAGCUCAGAGAGAGUAGUGUGUCCCCACACCCAGACAAUACCACGCAGCCUCCAGUGAACGAGAUGCCACAUCUCGCUUCCGAUUUGCAGUACAGGGAUUUUUUUUGCUGCCUAAUGUAAAUGUAAAUAUAACACAAAAUAAAGGCAAGAGUGGGCUUGGCCCCUCCAGUGCCGACCACAGGGCCCCUUUUGUAACUGAAUGGGCCUACAAGUAGCCAAUGCUCUGACUGUUUACAGUGCCCCUUGUGCCCAAGCCACCGUGACUUUCCUCCUGGCCCCUCCAAGCUCCCAGCCCCAUCUGGUAGUGAGGGUGAGGCGACAUGAGCUUUAUGAGAUUUCAGUAUUUUCCCUGCAAGUUAGAAACAUACAUAACUCAUUAUUAUAGCAAAUUACUAAUUCUAUCUCAGAGGUCUUUUUUUUUCUCCCCUAAAUGCAGGAUUUUUAUGUAAACUAUGACAUGAAAAAAUGUAGACCGAAAGGUAUUAUGAAAUAUCUGCCUCAAGUAUCUGGUGCCCCACCCCCACCCUGAGGAAACCUGGAACCACCUAUCCGGCAAAACCUAGCUCCUUUCUGAGAACUGGUCCAAGAGCUCCCGUGCCCUGUGGCGGGCACCUCUCUGUGGAGGGAGAACUGUGUGAGCUUAGCCACCCCUGAAAGUGAACCGGUCAGGACAGGCUGGACUGCAGCUUCACUCCUUCUCUCGAGCUUCGGUGAGGGAAUGGACGUGUGCUUUUGCUUCCCGCCUGACCCCAGAUGCUCCCAUCCUUGGAGAGGAAGGUUGUGACAGAGGAAGGAGAAAAAGUAGAAGGAAACAGACAGAUCUCUGGUCUCUGCUCAAAAUAGCUUCAGAUUAAAGGAAAUCAGGGAGGAAGAGGCAGGAAGACCAGUGAAAAAUAAGUUUCCUUUGAAACAACCCAUGCGUGUGCUCACACCUCAAGGAUAUCAUGCCCAGACCAAGCCAUCCAAAAUAGGUAGACACUUGUUAGGAGGGUUUUGGUGAAUGUACUGCAGACACCCAGCUGUUGUCAGGAGUAAAGACCAAGAUGGUGGAUGGUCUCCCACAUUAUUGUUGUGCUUUCUUUCUCAUUCCAGAUAGAAACAACUGAGCAGGUUAAGUUCCCUUCCCUGGGGAAUAAAUCAUGCCAAAUUGUAACAGCUAAAUCAAUGGGAAAGAAGCUUUUGCAGGUCAUCAGCUCUGGGUUUAGCUAAUUUGCUUUAUUGGUUCUGGAAGGUUUCAGAAAGGUCAGAGUUUCUUUAUUGUAACAGUAUCCACUCCACCUCCCUCGAAGUUGCAUAAAAUAAUUACAAAGUUUUAAUUAUCCUGAUUAAGAAGGCCCUAGACAAAGGCAAUGCCACCUUCAGAGUAGAUUGCCUGCCCUGAUGAGGUGUUGAUACAUUCAUGUUUUGCACCACGGGGAUGGAGAUUAAAAAUAAAACUAUUCAAGGACAGAGAGAAGGAAUGAGCAGAAACCAAAAAUUGCAAUUAGGGAGAAAUCUCAGGACUCUGGCAUCACACCCCUCCUAGACCCAGCCCUGAAUUCAUGCCCUCUGAACUCAGGCCGGGGCACCGAGUUCCCUCUGGCAGGACGAAGGCUUCACCCCUCGCCCAUCAGCUCGUGUGUAGAACGUCCGAGUCAUGCGCCCCACAUCCUUGCAUAUUCUCGCUCGUCUGAGACUCCCCCAACGUGUCCCAUGUAUUUUAUAUUUAUUGAUGUUCCAUCUGCAGAUUCAUUUCUUUGUACCUAAUAAACUUUAAUAAGUGG